UCCGGUUCUUCACCGGCAGUCUCCUUAGAGUCCCCACCAUUACGUGCUGGUAACUAAGGACAAGGGUUGCGCUCGUUACGGGACUUAACCCAACAUCUCACAACACGAGCUGACGACAGCCAUGCAGCACCUGUCUCUGCGUUCCUUUCGGCACUCCAGCUGCUAGGCUAGAUUCGCAGGAUGUCAAGAGUAGGUAAGGUUCUUCGCGUUGCAUCGAAUUAAACCACAUGCUCCACCGCUUGUGCGGGCCCCCGUCAAUUCCUUUGAGUUUCAACCUUGCGGCCGUACUUCCCAGGCGGAGAACUUAUCGCGUUAGCUUCGAUACUUCUAGGUUCCCCUAGCAACAUCUAGUUCUCAUCGUUUACAGCGUGGACUAC
rnacentral:misc_RNA from 1 species